rnacentral:rRNA from 1 species
CAGUAGCCGCGGUAAUACGUAGGGUGCAAGCGUUAUUCGGAAUUAUUGGGCGUAAAGAGCUCGUAGGCGGUUUGUCACGUCUGCUGUGAAAACGCGAGGCUCAACCUCGCGCCUGCAGUGGGUACGGGCAGACUAGAGUGCGGUAGGGGAGAUUGGAAUUCCUGGUGUAGCGGUGGAAUGCGCAGAUAUCAGGAGGAACACCGAUGGCGAAGGCAGAUCUCUGGGCCGUAACUGACGCUGAGGAGCGAAAGGGUGGGGAGCAAACAGGCUUAGAUACCCCUGUAGUCCCUGUCUCUUAUAU